AAUUAACAAUUUGGGGUCCUUUCCCUGCAGUUAGCUAUCCCUCAACCCUUCCACUGCACUAGUCCUAUAAAGGAAAUGUCUCUACCCUGCAGGGAUGCCACCCACACCCUGGGGCUCCGGGUAUUUGGGAGAUAUUUAUGCAGCCCAGUCAGAUUGUUAAGUUCCUUGCCAGAUGAAGAAACGGAACUUUUACAAAAUGGACCAGACCUUCAAGAUUUUGUACCUGGUGAUCUUGCAGACAAGAGCAUCUGGGAUGAAUAUAAAGGAAACCUAAAACGCCAGAAAGGAGAAAGGUUAAGACUACCUCCAUGGCUAAAGACAGAGAUUCCCAUGGGGAAAAAUUACAAUAAACUGAAAAAUACUUUGCAGAAUUUAAAUCUCCAUACAGUAUGUGAGGAAGCUCGAUGUCCCAAUAUUGGAGAGUGUUGGGGAGGUGGAAAAUAUGCCACUGCCACAGCCACGAUCAUGUUGAUGGGUGACACAUGUAUAAGAGGUUGCAGAUUUUGUUCUGUUAAGACUGCAAGAAAUCCUCCUCCACUGGAUGCCAGUGAGCCCUACAAUACUGCAAAGGCAAUUGCAGAGUGGGGUCUGGAUUAUGUUGUCCUGACAUCUGUGGAUCGAGAUGAUAUGCCCGAUGGGGGAGCUGAACACUUUGCAAAAACUGUAUCAUAUUUAAAGGAAAGGAAUCCAGAAAUCCUUGUGGAAUGCCUUACCCCUGAUUUUCGAGGCAAUCUCAAAGCAAUAGAAAAAGUUGCUCUGUCAGGAUUAGAUGUGUAUGCACAUAAUGUAGAAACAGUCCCAGAAUUACAGAGUAAAGUUCGUGAUCCUCGGGCCAAUUUUGAUCAGUCCCUGCGUGUACUGAAACAUGCCAAGAAGGUUCAGCCUGAUGUUAUUUCUAAAACAUCUAUAACGUUGGGUUUAGGCAAGAAUGAUGAGCAAGUAUAUGCAACAAUGAAAGCACUUCGUGAGGCAGAUGUAGACUGCUUGAUUUUAGGACAAUAUAUGCAGCCAACAAAGCGUCACCUUAAGGUUGAAGAAUAUGUUACUCCUGAAAAAUUCAAAUACUGGGAAAAAGUAGGAAAUGAACUUGGAUUUCAUUAUACUGCAAGUGGCCCUUUGGUGCGUUCCUCAUAUAAAGCAGGUGAAUUUUUCCUGAAAAAUCUAGUGACUAAAAGAAAAACAAAAGCCCCCUAAAACUUCAACAAGACCUUCAAGAUCACAGAAAUUUUUAAAAUUUGAUUCCAGUUAAUAACAGAGGUGGCAUCAGAAUGCCUGGACUGUAGUAGAUGUACCCCACUCUUUGCUUUAAAAAAAAAAAGUCAAUAGCCAAGCACGGUGGCUCACGCCUGUAAUCUCAGCACUUCAGGAGGCCAAGGCAGAUUACCUGUGGUCAGGAGACCAGCCUGGCCAACAUGGUGAAACCCCAUCUUCAACUUAGCUGGGCAUGGUGGUGGGUGCCUGUAAUCCCAGCUACUUGGGAGGCUGAGGCAGGAGAAUCGCUUGAACCUGGGAGAUAGAGGUUGUAGUGAGCCAAGAUUGCUCCAUUGCCCUCCAACCUGGGUGACAAGAACAAGACUCUGUCUCUAA